UGUUAACGAGCCCCAUAUGUUCAGCUCUUAAUGAGAACAACAAAUUGGCUGAGGUUCUAUUGGGAUUGUCGAAAGUCAUACUGGGAAGCGCAUGCUUUCUCUAAUUGAAGCAGAGCUGAGACAUCUCGGAUAAAAUGGCCACGGCUAAUUUAGGUGACACCUCGCUUUAUCUCAGACAAUCUAACUGACAACUGAUUUCACAGUUUCGUUGAUUAUGCAGCUUUCUGUCUUUUCAAUGUCAGAGACAAGCUAAAGUUGUGAAAAUACAAUUAAUUGGUCUCAUCAGAUAUCAUCUGUUUUUAUUAAUUCCUCUGUGUGCGGCUCAGCUGAAGGCACUGUACAGCCUGCACUGUGUCCUGUGGGAUACUACUGUCCUCCAGGAGUGACUCUAGGACUGGAGUUCCCUUGUCCAGCUGGCACUGUGCAGAGCCAGCUCGGAGCCUCCAGUCCUCAGGCCUGCCUGCUCUGCCCUGCUGGAAUGUUCUGUUCUCACCCUGGUCUGUCCGAGCCAACAGGACUCUGUGAGGCAGGAUUUUACUGCCCUGCUGGAUCAACCAGCCCGAACUCCACUGAGUACCAGGUGCUGUUCUUGUUCACUGUCGCUUCUGUCACCUGGUGACACUGAUUGAUCGAUCAUUUGUUCCCAGAGAAUGAUUCAUAAUGAUACUGGUGACCCAUUGACCUUUCAUUUAAUGAAAUAAGAAAGGAUGUUAAAGGUGCAGUAUGUAAGAAUUUUGUUUAAAGAACUGAAUUAACAUUAUCAAUAGAAUGUGAACAGUUUUGACAUAAUGUCAAAGACGUCUAUGUACUGUGUUGCAGAGAUAUCUAUUGAUGUUAUUCGAUAACCAGCUAGCCCUUUAGCCACUUUGUACCUCAACACCAACACUCCCCUUAAGUGGCCAGCCUGCAUUUGACGUAUUGCAUCUUUAAGAUUUCCGUAUUUCCCCAAGAAAUAUAAUCAGAAUCUGAGUAGAUGAUUGACUGAGCACAGUCUCUCAAUACUUUCCUUGUUUUACGGCCCAGUAUCAUUCUUCUAAAAGCACCAUUAGCUGAAAUGUCAAUUUACUGUAGCACACAAGAUAUAAAAAAUUAUUGCGUUUACUGGGAAAUUUGCUCUUGUUAUUAAUGGCUCUUUGACGAUGAGUCGCUUUUCCUCGAGAAUUAUUAAAAUCUAACUGUGAUGUUAUCAUUAAUUUUACGAAAGACAUUUCUGCUUUGAUUUUGGUCACAAAUAAGCUUUACUC
rnacentral:lncRNA from 1 species